rnacentral:rRNA from 1 species
UACGUAGGGGGCAAGCGUUGUCCGGAAUUACUGGGCGUAAAGCGUGCGCAGGCGGUUCGGAAAGAAAGAUGUGAAAUCCCAGGGCUCAACCUUGGAAUGGCAUUUUUAACUCCCGGACUAGAGUGUGUCAGAGGCAAGUGGAAUUCCAUGUGUAGCGGUAAAAUGCGUAAAUAUAUGGAGGAACACCAGUGGCGAAGGCGGCCUUCUGGCUUACCCCUGACGCUGAGGCACGAAAGCGUGGGGAGCAAACAGG